rnacentral:rRNA from 1 species
UACGUAGGGUGCGAGCGUUAAUCGGAAUUACUGGGCGUAAAGCGCGCGUAGGUGGUUUGUUAAGUUGGAUGUGAAAUCCCCGGGCUCAACCUGGGAACUGCAUCCAAAACUGGCAAGCUAGAGUAUGGUAGAGGGUGGUGGAAUUUCCUGUGUAGCGGUGAAAUGCGUAGAUAUAGGAAGGAACACCAGUGGCGAAGGCGACCACCUGGACUGAUACUGACACUGAGGUGCGAAAGCGUGGGGAGCAAACAGG